rnacentral:rRNA from 1 species
CCUACGGGAGGCAGCAGUAAGGAAUAUUGGUCAAUGGAGGCAACUCUGAACCAGCCAUGCCGCGUGCAGGAUGACGGCCCUAUGGGUUGUAAACUGCUUUUAUACAAGAGAAAACCCUGGUACGUGUACCAGGUUGAUAGUAUUGUAAGAAUAAGCAUCGGCUAACUUCGUGCCAGCAGCCGCGGUAAGACGAAGGAUGCAAGCGUUAUCCGGAUUCAUUGGGUUUAAAGGGUGCGUAGGCGGACUGAUAAGUCAGUGGUGAAAUCUCUUUGCUUAACAAGAAACUGCCAUUGAUACUGUCGGUCUAGAGUAUAGAUGACGUUGGCGGAAUAUGACAUGUAGUGGUGAAAUACCUUAGAUAUGU